UUUAUCCAUAUCCUCCCACUUGGAAAUUUCGGUUUUAUUUUCAAUUGUUUGUUCCCAAAGAGCCAACGUACUCUCUGGCAAUUUCGUGGAGCAGAGAUAUGUAACGAUGGCGUCCCAAUUGGAUACGUCAAUUUGAUGACAUCGCAAAGCCGAUAAACAAUUAUUAAUAUUUCGCUGUAACUUUUUUAAUGAAGUACCGCACUCACUUUCUACUGACUCUAGGUUAAAAAGAAUCUUUAUCUGCGAAUUCACUAGAAUGCGUUUAUUCUCGAACCUAUCACAAAGGUUUUUCCAUGCAGUAUUGAAGCCCUCGUUUGUAACAUCACAUUUGCUAACUAUCUCUUUGGCCUCCCCCUGAGUUUUCUGGUUCAAAUGAAACAACUUUUCUACAGGAGUGAGGCGCUUAUUAUUGAUAUAAAUGGCCGUAAACAUGUCACGGAAUGUAGGCCACGAGAGAUAAUCGCCUUUGAACACAUCCGUAUCACACGGUGGGAGAUGGAUGUUGUGUUCUCUGGCCGACAUAUCCUCGGUAUCUUUGUCACUUUUGACGAGCUUCGCAUGGAGUUCUGCCAUGUUCGACAUGCAGCGCAGAUAAGUAGAAUAGGUACUUUUAUACUUAGCCUUCACUGAGGCUGAUUUUGCUUCUACCGCACCUGAACUUAAAUACUCUUCGUACGCUAUCUUUGCUUUCCUCCACAUGGCUUUCAGUUCCUCUUGCUGGAUGGCAAGAGUGUAUUUUGUGUGCUCCGUUUCAGUCAUGCUAUUGUAGUCGGCCUCAAACUCAGGCACAACAUCAGCUAAUCGGAUAAAUGUUUCCAUUUUUAAGAUCCUAAUGAAAAUAAGUUACGAGAGCACUUCGAAAAUUAUAACUUUCCCAAAGUUUUAAGCGAAUAAACCACCACAAUCAAAUAAGUUAACACCGCAAUUUAGGUGCAAUUUCGCACGGAUAUCAAAUUAUUUAUUAAAUAUCAAGCGUAAUAUAUAUUACAGGAACUGAUACUCGCCACCCAACUCUCAGCGAAAUAUUUGUGUAUAAAUGUGAAAUAAUUCAACUGUGCUACGCAGAUAUUAUUUUUGUUGAUUAAUCGUUCAAAGUGAUCUUGUGGAUGCAGAAUUGCAGAAGUUAAAAAGUGUCCCAAUGUGAAACCAAAUGU